UUUGAGUAACUUCUGAAAUCAAGUCAGUGUGGGAUCAAGAGUAUUUGACCUGAACACCCAUACUGACUUAAUUUCAGAAGUCACUUAAA